UAAUAUAGAACAUGAGGAAAGACCAAAUAUAACACCAUUUCAGCAAGCAAAUGCAGAACAUGAAUUAGGGAGCGAACUUGAGGAAAUGCAAAUGAUGGAAAUUAUUCAAAAAUAUAUAAGAGGAUGAACGUCAAAUGAAAGGCAAAUCUGCUGGAAAAAGGGAGCCUUUGCAAUAGUUUUUGGAAGGUUAUUAGUGAACAUUAAGGAUCAAGUACAACGCAACCCAUGAAGAUCUUUUCUAGGAAUUUGGAAGGUUCAGAGGACCAAACAGGUGGAGGUUUUUAUCAGCUUAUAAAUAAGUUGAAAUAUGAUUUCCAUUAUUUCUUCAGAAUAAUCUUCUGAUAUAACACCACAAAGUGAAAUAAGACCGCUUGGAAUAAAAAUAAGGCAAAAACAAUGGUGAAGAACCAGCAUUAUGCUAUGGGCAGUAAGAUAGUCUGCUAUAAAAUUACUACUGCAAUAACAUUAACUUGCCUAACUAACAAUAGAAACUAAACCAAGUUUGCUACUACAACAAUAAUGACUUCAUCAUACUAAGAAACAAAAAUGAUUUGUUUUUGACACACGUGAUUCUUAUUUGAAAAUAAACAAACUUGGUUUUCUAAUGAUUUUACAUGGACUUGAAUUUUUCUAUUAUCAACAUCUUCCUUACCUUUGGCAGAUGGUUAUAUAUUUCCUUUGGAAAGUUUUGGUUAUGUCAUGACUUUCUCGUAGCAACCUCAUUCUUUCAUUUUAUGAAGAAAAUAUACUUAUGAUUUGCAGAAAAAAUUACACAUGCUAAAGACAAAACAACCUUUGAAAUCAAUUCAUUAGUUCACAAAACUAUAAACAGAUACAAACAAAAUGAAAAUUUCUAAUCUUCAACACCAGAGCCUCUAGCAUUUUGUUCCAAUCAAAAAUUUAAGCGGAUAAAGUGAGAUUUUUUGACACCUUGGUAGGAUUCAUGUAGCCAACCUCAGCUAGUUUGGUAUUAAGGUGUUGAGUUGAGUUGAGUUGCAGACAAGGCAACUGCCUUAAGAUUUGGCAUAUUUCUAGGUAAAUGUCUAACCACUUACAUGUUCCUAAAAUCUGAAAAAGCUGGAAAUUUCCUUAUUCUUUGAAGAGUCACUUACCUAGCACAUUAUAUCAUGAUUUCUUGUUUAAGCCAUUAUUGUUCAUCCCUUCCCUUGCAAGCCAUCCCACUUGCACAUUUGCUGCUCAUAAUAUCAGGGCAAUAUGAAAUUUGUGAUAGAAGAUUAGGAUGUCCAGGAUACAGAGAAAUCGAUUGAAGAAAACUCCACUCUUGAUUUGGGAGUUUCUAGAUCAUAGGCGUGCCUGUUUUCAGACUGCACAGCCAGUUCCUCCGCAUUAGUUAAAAGAACGUUUGGUUUAAGUAAUCAAAAAUGAAGGAGGCCACUUUUCCGAAGUGACUUUGAAAAAACUUUUUCCCCAAAUAGAAGGAAGAGAAAAUGUUAAAAUCAUUUCAGUACUUUCCAAAAAUGUCAGGACAUAAUUGUAGAACUGUGAUCCUCACAUCCACUGAACCACACACACACAGAAGUUGCUCACUUCCACCUGACACACUUCAGACCCACCACCAAUGAUCCCCAUAGUCAGUAAGCAAUGCUUUUGAGUUUUCGCUAGCAUGAAAUUGUACAUACCUCAAUAAGCGAACCAUGCUUUGUGCUAAGAUUCCUUACUAUAAAAUUUAUAAGUUUGAUGUAACUGCUUUUGCAUAAUAUCUUCAUGCAAAUAUAGUGAAUUGAGACACUCAAUUUUUUAAAAUCCUAACAAAAAAAAAAAAGAAAGAAAGAAAGAAAGAAAAAGAAAAAAGAGGGAUGUUCAUUCUGAAACAAUCAACUUUCAAUGGAUGAGGUGAAUAUGGCUUUACCCACUUGUGUUCCUAGGAAAUGUCUGCUGCCCAGAAAAGUACUACCUAGUCCUAUAAUUGUUUUGAUUACCUAGUAACUGCAUUGAGUACCUAUGUUUAAAAUAUUGUUAGGUAAAUAUUAAAGUAAAUCUUCAUACUUAACAUAUGCUUUACAUUUUAUCUGCACAUAGUAAAUAUGUACCACAAGUACAACAAGUAGAUUAAGCAAAUUUCAAGGGAACUUUAUUUUUGUACACUUAAAUACAAGAAAUUUGGUAUACAUGUUUAUACAC
rnacentral:lncRNA from 1 species